ensembl:lncRNA
GACACAGACUUCCCCAUGAUCAACUUCUGCACAGUCUGGACAGCUUUCUGGCAGCAGUAGAGGUUGGCCCUGCAGCUUUGGGCAAGGCCCAUGGACAGAGAGAUCGCACCUGAUGGGAACAAUCUUAAAAGCCAUCUGAUUCUGAGGCCUGCAGACAGACGUCAUCCCCUGAAAAUGUCCUAAACAAGGUGCAGGCCAACGAGGAAGAGGAGAGGCUGAAUAGAGAACUGGAGCUAACUACCAAGGAGAGAAAUGAGCUGACAGAUCGCCUCCUUUAUGUGACAGGUGGAUCCAUGAGCAAGAG